AUGGCGGCGCCCUACCGCCGUCUCCUCCUCCUCCGCCGCCUCUCCAUCUCCAUCUCCCAAUCCCACCUCGCCCCGCACCCCCAGCCCGCCCCGCUGCUCUCUCCCGCCCGCCACUUCGCCUUCUCCUCCGCGGAGGAGGCCGCGGCCGAGCGCCGCCGCCGCAAGCGCCGCCUCCGCAUCGAGCCGCCGCUGCACGCCCUCCGCCGCGACCCCUCCAACCCGCCGCCCCCGCGCGACCCCAACGCGCCCCGCCUCCCCGACACCACCUCCUCCCUGGUCNNNNNNNNNCUCAGCCUCCACAACCGCGUGCAGGCCCUCAUCCGCUCCGGCGACCUCGACGGCGCCGCCGCCGCCUCCCGCGCGGCCGUCUCCUCGCGCGUCCGCCCCACCGUCUUCACCUGCAACGCGGUCGCCGCCUCCAUGGUCCGCGCCGGCCGGCCCGACGACGCCGUCGCCCUCUUCGCCUUCUUCUUCCGCCGCUCCAACAUCGUCCCCAACGUCGUCUCCUACAACACCCUCAUCCUCGCCCACUGCGACGCCGCCCGCGUCGACGACGCGCUCCAGGCAUACCAGGAGAUGCUGGACGGCCUCACCUCCUUCUCCCCCUCCACGGUCUCCUACCGCCACCUCACCAAGGGCCUCGUCGCCGCCGGCCGCGUCCAGGACGCCCUCGACCUCCUCCGUGACAUGCUCAACCGCGGCCAGGGCGCCGACUCCAUCGUCUACAAGAACCUCAUCGACGGCUACGUUGCCCUCGACGACUGGGACAAGGCCUUCCAGCUCUUCGACGAGCUCCGGGAGAAGGCCACCGUCUAUGACGGCGUCGUGCACACCAGCUUCAUGGAGGGCUACUGGAAGAAAGGCAUGGACAAGGAGGCCAUGGACAGCUACAGCUCCCUUCUGGACAAGAAGUUCAAGAUGACGCCGGCCACCUGCAACGUGCUGCUCCAGACACUCUUCAGCCACGACAAGCACAAGGAGGCACACGACCUGUGGGAGACCAUGGUCGACAACCACAACCCGCCCAGCUUCAUCGGCGUCAACAGCGAGUCCUACACUGUCAUGGUCAACCAGUGCUUCAAGGAGGGCAGGUUCCAGGACGCCAUCGAGGUGUUCCACAGGCAGCCGAGGAAGAGUGUGCAGAUGGACGUCGCCUGCUUCAACAACAUCAUCGGGAAGCUCUGCGAGAACGGGAUGCUAGCAGAGGCGGAGCAGCUCUUCGAGGAGAUGGAGAGCAAGUCAGUGCUUCCAGAUGUGUACACCUACACUUACCUGGUCGACUCGUGCUUCAAGGAUGGCCGUGUGGAUGACACCAUGCAGUAUUUCCACAAAAUGGCGGACGGGAGGGAGCACGGGCCAAAGUUCAAUAUCGCUUUCUUCAAUCGGAUGUUUCAAGGGCUUACAGAAGCUGGCCGGAUUGAUGAUGCCUUGAAGGUGUAUGGAAGGAUGCCUGACAAGGAGAUUAAGCCGUCCACGGCCACCUUUGAGAUCCUGGUUAAGGCGUCCUGCAAGGAAGGGGAAUUGGAUAGAGCACGAGACCUGGUGAGGGACAUGGCCAGAGGCGGUGUUGUCGCUCCUCCUGAGUUCCGUGAGUGUAUUGUUGAGAUUUUCAAGACUGCUGAUCGCCAGGAAGAGAUCGAGCAAGCUUUUGAUGAAAAGCCAGUGCCACCACCUCCUUCGCCAAGGCCAGAGUAUCGCCCUCGGAGUCUACCUGGAUUUCAGCAAGCAGUCGGUGCUUCUCAAGUGCAACAACCUAAAUUUAGCUCGGAUUCACCGGUGCAGUCUGGAUUUGGUACCCCUCAACCGCAACAAUCAACGCAUAUCUCUCAUCAGACUCAACAUGCCGGGUUUGGCACACCUCGUCCAUGGCAGACAGGGUUUGGCUCUCAGCAAGCGCAGCAGCCCGGGUAUGGCUCUCAGCAAGCGCAACAGCCAGGAUAUGGCUCUCAGCAAGCGCAACAAACAGGGUAUGGCUCUCAGCAAACGCAGCAGCCAGGUUAUGGCUCUCAGCAAGGGCAGCAGCCAGGGUAUGGCUCGCACCAAGCGCAACAGACUGGAUAUGGCCCGCAUCAAGCGCAACAGCCUGGGUAUAGCUACCAAGCCCAACAGCCAAGGUAUGGCGCUCACCAAGCGGAACAGCCAGGAUAUGGUGCUUAUCAAGCGCAACAGCCUGGGUACGGCGCUCAUCAAGCACGACAGCCUGGGUAUGGUGCACCUCAGACAUCACAGCCACCUUUUGGUCUUCCUGAAGCACCACAAUCUGGCUUUCGCAGUGCUCGGACUCUACCAAGCUAUGGCCAUAUAGGAAAUCAGCAUGAUCAGUUUGGAUCUCCUCCUCAGGGCAGACAAAAGGUUGACACUCAGCCAGCGCAGGACUCUGGUGCUCCUGAAGCACCACAAUCUGGUUCGGGCAUUGCUCAGAGCUUGCCAAACAGUGGCCACAUUGGAAAUCAACAUGAUCAGUUUGGAUCGGGUGGAAUAAAAUUUAGCACCCAGUCACCUCAGGAGGACUUUGGUACUCAGGCAUCAGAUGAAGUGGCUGUCAAGUACGCUGAGCGAUACUAA
rnacentral:rRNA from 1 species